CGCUGGCGGCAGGCCUAACACAUGCAAGUCGAGCGGAUGAAGGGAGCUUGCUCCUGGAUUUAGCGGCGGACGGGUGAGUAAAGCCUAGGAAUCUGCCUGGUAGUGGGGGACAACGACUCGAAAGGGUCGCUAAUACCGCAUACGUCCUACGGGAGAAAGUGGGGGAUCUUCGGACCUCACGCUAUCAGAUGAGCCUAGGUCGGAUUAGCUAGUAGGUGAGGUAAUGGCUCACCUAGGCGACGAUCCGUAACUGGUCUGAGAGGAUGAUCAGUCACACUGGAACUGAGACACGGUCCAGACUCCUACGGGAGGCAGCAGUGGGGAAUAUUGGACAAUGGGCGAAAGCCUGAUCCAGCCAUGCCGCGUGUGUGAAGAAGGUCUUCGGAUUGUAAAGCACUUUAAGUUGGGAGGAAGGGUUGUAGUUUAAUACGCUGCAACUUUGACGUUACCAACAGAAUAAGCACCGGCUAACUCUGUGCCAGCAGCCGCGGUAAUACAGAGGGUGCAAGCGUUAAUCGGAAUUACUGGGCGUAAAGCGCGCGUAGGCGGCUUGAUAAGAUGGGUGUGAAAUCCCCGGGCUUAACCUGGGAACUGCAUCCAUAACUGUCUGGCUAGAGUACAGUAGAAGGGUGGUGGAAUUUCCUGGUGUAGCGGUGAAAUGCGUAGAUAUAGGAAGGAACACCAGUGGCGAAGGCGACCACCUGGACUGAUACU
rnacentral:rRNA from 1 species